GGUCGAGUGGCGCAAUGGUAGCGUGUGGUCCUCCUAUAAAAUAGGGUUCCAGACUGAGGUUGUGGGUUCGAGUCCCAUCUCGAUCG